AGCACCGGCUAACUACGUGCCAGCAGCCGCGGUAAUACGUAGGGUGCGAGCGUUGUCCGGAAUUACUGGGCGUAAAGGGCUCGUAGGUGGUUUGUCGCGUCGUCUGUGAAAUUCCGGGGCUUAACUCCGGGCGUGCAGGCGAUACGGGCAUAACUUGAGUACUGUAGGGGUAACUGGAAUUCCUGGUGUAGCGGUGAAAUGCGCAGAUAUCAGGAGGAACACCGAUGGCGAAGGCAGGUUACUGGGCAGUUACUGACGCUGAGGAGCGAAAGCAUGGGUAGCGAACAGGAUUAGAUACCCUGGUAGUCCAUGCCGUAAACGGUGGGCGCUAGGUGUGAGGGUCUUUUCACGACUUUCGUGCCGUAGCUAACCGNACUACUACGUACGCCCGCCGUCGGGUACGGUACGGUACCGGACGACGGACGUAAACGUAACGUAACGUAACGUACGGUACGGGGUACCGGACCGACGAACGACGGACGGACGGACGACGUAGUAGGUAAGUUAACGUUUACGUACGUACGUACGAACCGUACCGGUAACGGUAAACCGUUAACCCGUUACGGUACGUUACGUACGUACGUAACGUAACCGGUACGGUACGGGUACGGUACGUAACGGUACGUACGUUACCGUUUUACCCGUUUUACGGUUCGGUCGUCGGUUACGGUUACG
rnacentral:rRNA from 1 species